AUUUACUGUCAAAUUACAGCCUGGAGCUGGAUAUAUACUACCAGAAUAUCAAAGAAGAGGAACUCUUCAUAAAUUUUUCUUUUACAUGACCCUCAGAGAAAAGCUUCUUCUGCAUCCAUUCACACCAUUACAUAUGACAGGGAACUUCCAAACAUACAAGAUAUACCCAGCUUUUCUUCGUUUUUCAGAGCAUGCAUAUCCACGCUAUGACAGGCCAACCCCUGAG